AUUGAACGCUGGCGGCAUGCCUUACACAUGCAAGUCGAACGGUAACGGGCCUUCGGGUGCCGACGAGUGGCGAACGGGUGAGUAAUACAUCGGAACGUGCCCGAUCGUGGGGGAUAACGAGGCGAAAGCUUUGCUAAUACCGCAUACGAUCUACGGAUGAAAGCAGGGGACCGCAAGGCCUUGCGCGGGCGGAGCGGCCGAUGGCAGAUUAGGUAGUUGGUGGGAUAAAAGCUUACCAAGCCGACGAUCUGUAGCUGGUCUGAGAGGAUGGUCAGCCACACUGGGACUGAGACACGGCCCAGACUCCUACGGGAGGCAGCAGUGGGGAAUUUUGGACAAUGGGCGCAAGCCUGAUCCAGCCAUGCCGCGUGCAGGAUGAAGGCCUUCGGGUUGUAAACUGCUUUUGUACGGAACGAAAAGCCUUCUUUUAAUACAGGAGGGUCAUGACGGUACCGUAAGAAUAAGCACCGGCUAACUACGUG
rnacentral:rRNA from 1 species